rnacentral:tRNA from 1 species
GGAGGGGUGCCGGAGCGGUCGAACGGGGCGGUCUCGAAAACCGUUAGGCGUGCAAGCGCCUCCAGGGUUCAAAUCCCUGCCCCUCCG